UACGGAGGGAGCUAGCGUUGUUCGGAAUUACUGGGCGUAAAGCGCACGUAGGCGGCUUUGUAAGUUAGAGGUGAAAGCCCGGGGCUCAACUCCGGAACUGCCUUUAAGACUGCAUCGCUUGAAUCCAGGAGAGGUGAGUGGAAUUCCGAGUGUAGAGGUGAAAUUCGUGGAUAUUCGGAAGAACACCAGUGGCGAAGGCGACUAACUGGACAUGUAUUGACGCUGAGGUGCGAAAGCGUGGGGAGCAAACAGG
rnacentral:rRNA from 1 species